UUAUUUUGAUGUCCUUCUUUA
ensembl:piRNA 21ur-11471 ncRNA